CGGCGGACGGGUGAGUAAUGCUUAGGAAUCUGCCUAUUAGUGGGGGACAACAUCUCGAAAGGGAUGCUAAUACCGCAUACGUCCUACGGGAGAAAGCAGGGGACCUUCGGGCCUUGCGCUAAUAGAUGAGCCUAAGUCGGAUUAGCUAGUUGGUGGGGUAAAGGCCUACCAAGGCGACAUCUGUAGCGGGUCUGAGAGGAUGAUCCGCCACACUGGGACUGAGACACGGCCCAG
rnacentral:rRNA from 1 species